rnacentral:tRNA from 1 species
GCCAAAGUGGCGAAAAUGGCAAACGCGUACGGUUCAGGUCCGUAUGGGAGCAAUCCCCUGCAGGUUCAAGUCCUGUCUUUGGCA